CCCUUAGAUGUUCUGGGCUGCACGCGCGCUACACUGAUGCACCCAACGGGUUUACGACCUUGCCUGGAAAGGUUGGGUAAUCCUACAAAAAUGCGUCGUGGUGGGGACAGAUUACUGCAAUAACUAAUCUUCAACGAGGAAUUCCUAGUAAGCGCGAGUCAUCAGCUCGUGCUGAUUACCUCCCUGCCCUUUGUACACACCGCCCGUCGCUCCUACCGAUUAAGUGAUCCGGUGAAUAGUUCGGACUGCUGCAAUGCUUGGAUCCCGAGAAUUGCGGCGAAAGUUUAGUGAACCUUAUCACUUAGAGGAAGGAGAAGUCGUAACA
rnacentral:rRNA from 1 species